UUAGAAGCCGAAAGGCAUCUUAAAACCAUCGCGAACUUAUCCAAGUUGCUUCGGCGGCGCGGAGUGCACCUUAUGGGCGCCCGCGGCCUCGCCUCUCCGGAGGUGUGGGGCAGCCGCCGGAGGUACGAAACUCUGUCUUAUAGUGGUAUCUCUGAGUAAAAAACAAAUAAGUUA
rnacentral:misc_RNA from 1 species